rnacentral:snRNA from 15 species
AUACUUACCUUCUUGCGAUGGCCCAGCUCAAAGAUUGGGUUCAUCUGACAGUUCCGUCUGCAUUGCACAGCGCGGUAUGGGAUUGUUACGAGCUUCCUUCGGGAAUCUCGGCGGGGCAAUUUUUGCUGGUCUGCUUUCGAGCUUUU